ACACGGCGCAGCCUCGGGACCGCGGACUGAAGGAGGACACGCGGAGAAACACGCGAGGCGCCGCGUUCCUGGCGGAGCCACACGGAUACAAAAACGCGCAGGACCUCUCAUCGUCAGACCGCCGUGGACACGCAGCCUCGGCAGAUGGCGUGGGAGGUACGCAUCUGAUCCGCGCGCUCACCUGUUUGUCAAAGCGAGGCUGCACAGAACUCGUGUCCUGCACAUCUGGAGGCUGGAAGAUGCUGCAGCUGCUCGUUGCCACGUGCGGAUGUUACUCAGUCUCAGUGAACGAGGGGGUCGUGUGGAUGGAAAGUGAGUAUUUGGGGGUUUGUGUGUUUGGAGGGUCUUUGGUUAGUGGCCACAGGUCACAGGCUUGUCCUAAUGAACGCAGCCCACUCUCAGCCUGCGGAUCCACUGGCCUAGAUCUAGACUUGUUUCAGGGUGAGGUUUUAUUACCAGCACUUAUUCAAUCGCGUUUAAUUCAGGUCCAGUGUCAAAAAUUUGAAAACGACACAAAGUAAUGGUGGGCUGUUGUCCAUCAGGCCUGUUCUACUCAGACCCACCAACCUUCAAUAGGCCGUCUUGCUUUUCUAAAAUUUAUAGUAAACACAGUAUAAACACAACUCGUGUCUGUGAAGUGGAUUUCCUUCAAACGAAGCUGUGCAAUCGGACUUUCACCCUUGAAGAAGUGGCGAAUGACUUGUUAGUGUAUCUGUUUCCCAAUUAAGACUAAUGACGUCAGACGCAGUGACAAAGACAAGCGUGAGUUCAUCAUGAGGUUAUUUUGUUGAUUAUAACAUAAAUAAUAAAAACUGCGCAGCUCGUAUAAAACAAUGUCUACACUAGAAUGACCAGUAGUGGGACAUUACAAAUUAGUAUGAGACUGAUAAAUAAUGACAUGUUCAAUAAAUAGUUCAAUAUUUCUAAUAGAGACCUACAUUCAGUAGAGAAAUGCAGACAUUUAAUGGUAAUUUGAACGUGAUAAUCACAAAUAAAAUAACUUCGGCUUUAAAGAAGAACAUCUUAUUUAGUAAUUAUUAAAAUCUGCAUGUUUUUCAUGGCCUUGUUAUGUUAUUAAGUCACUGUGGGUGGAAAAGGAGCAAUCAAACAAUAAGAUGUGGUGAUGUGCACUGCAACAUGUGGAUCUCACCACAGCUCACUAUGAAAGUUUUCAGAUCUUAUAGUGUAAGUUACAAAAAUUAUUCAUAUUAGUUAGGCUCUACUAAUAAUAAUGUCAUGUUGUUCUUUGUUCCUAGGAAGCCUCAGACUUUCAUUUUGCUCUUGUAGCCAAGGAGCCUGUUCCUUUCUUUGGUUAUCUAGCUGUAUGAGUGUUCAUCAUCUGUCAUAAAGCUAGAUAACCGAAAGUAGGAAUGGCCUCCAGACUCAUCGCGUCCUGAACGAACUAAACAUGAAGAGGAACACACCCAGAGGAGGACGGGGCAUGUUCAGGGACGGACUGGACCGAUGCCGACGCCGGCGGCUGUGGAGGCUGCGUCACUGCCAGUCACAGAUUCAGACUGAGAAGUUUGUGUUUGACUCGUCACAAACUGUGCACAUACAAAGGACAGUGAUUUGAAAUGAUUUAGGAUUUCUGUAAUAUAUAGUUGUGCUUCACUGUUACCACUUGGGCUCUGGGUUAUUUGUGUUGUAUUUGUGUUGUUACAACAGCUAAUUGUGUCAGUGUGCAGAAUAAAAUUAUUAUUAUUAAAAUAAUCUAUACUCAAUAAAAUAAUUAACCAGGAAA